rnacentral:rRNA from 1 species
AAUUUUGGACAAUGGGGGAAACCCUGAUCUAGCCAUCCCGCGUGUAUGAUGAAGGCCUUCGGGUUGUAAAGUACUUUUUGCAGAGAAGAAAAGGUAUCUCCUAAUACGAGAUACUGCUGACGGCAUCUACAGAAUAAGCACGGGCCAACUCCGUGCCAGCCGCCGCGGUAAUACUUAGGGUGCAAGCGUUAAACGGAACUACUGGGCGUAAAGCGUGUGUAGGCGGUUCGGAAAGAAAGAUGUGAAAUCCCAGGGCUCAACCUUGGAACUGCAUUUUUAACUGCCGAGCUAGAGUAUGUCAGAGGGGGGUAGAAUUCCACGUGUAGCAGUGAAAUGCGUAGAUAUGUGGAGGAAUACCGAUGGCGAAGGCAGCCCCCUGGGAUAAUACUGACGCUCAGACACGAAAGCGUGGGGAGCAAACAG